GCCUGCCGAGAUUCCUGUACAAAAAACAGAUAUUAAAGGAGAUUGGAAGCUUGGUCAGGAAAGUGGAAAAAACUAGAUAUUAAAAUGAAUAGUGAAGCAAUGGGGAAAUUCACUAGAAUGGUCGCGUUUGUAGAUUUGGGAAACCCGCUUACCGCGCAAGUUGUGGUCAAUGGCCAGAUCGAAACAUUCACAGUGGUAAAGAGGAUCCUUCUAGCCUGAUAAACAACAAGCCAAUUUCGGUAACGAUAGGAGAAGCCUUCGGUCUGUGGAUGGUUGUUGAGCGCAAAUCUAAGAGCGAUCAGGUUGGCAACCAAAAUCUAAAGGUGAACAUCUCAAAAAAAAAUCUGUCUGGUUCCAUAUUUGAAAUGUUAUCUUCAUUGGAAACACAAUCUAUGGGAAUGGAGGCGAAACAAUCGAAAAUGGGGGGAACUAGGUUUCAGCAAUGUGCUUUUAUUAAAAAAUUAAA